CCUACGGGUGGCUGCAGUGAGGAAUAUUGGUCAAUGGGCGCGAGCCUGAACCAGCCAAGUCGCGUGAGGGAAGACGGUCCUAUGGAUUGUAAACCUCUUUUGUCGGGGAGCAAAAGACGCCACGCGUGGCGUUCCGAGAGUACCCGAAGAAAAAGCAUCGGCUAACUCCGUGCCAGCAGCCGCGGUAAUACGGGGGAUGCGAGCGUUAUCCGGAUUGAUUGGGGUUAAAGGUUGCGCAGGCGGAAGAUCAAGUCAGCGGUAAAACUGAGAGGCUCAACCUCGUCGAGCCGUUGAAACUGGUUGUCUUGAGUGAGCUAGAGGUAUGCGGAAUGCGUGGUGUAGCGGUGAAAUGCAUAGAUAUCACGAAGAACUCCGAUUGCGAAGGCAGCAUACCGGCGCUCAACUGACGCUCAUGCACGAAAGUGUGGGUAUCGAACAGGAGUAGAUACCCUAGUAGUC
rnacentral:rRNA from 1 species